rnacentral:rRNA from 1 species
GACGAACGCUGGCGGCGUGCUUAACACAUGCAAGUCGAACGGAAAGGCCCCUUUGGGGGUACUCGAGUGGCGAACGGGUGAGUAACACGUGAGUAACCUGCCCUUGACUUCGGGAUAACUUCAGGAAACUGGGGCUAAUACCGGAUAGGAAUCCUUGCUGCAUGGUGGGGGUUGGAAAGCUUCGGCGGUUUUGGAUGGACUCGCGGCUUAUCAGCUUGUUGGUGGGGUAGUGGCUUACCAAGGCUUUUACGGGUAGCCGGACUGAGAGGGCGACCGGCCACAUUGGGACUGAGAUACGGCCCAGACGCCUACGGGAGGCAGCAGUGGGGAAUAUUGCACAAUGGGCGGAAGCCUGAUGCAGCAACGCCGCGUGCGGGAUGACGGCCUUCGGGUUGUAAACCGCUUUCAGCAGGGGCGAAGCUUGUGGUGACGGUACCUGCAGAAGAAGCACCGGCUAACUACGUG